UGCUGCAGCAUGUCAUUUGGAUGUUGAAGGAAAAUCCCCUGAUUCAGUCUGCCAUUUCUGACAGUCUCCCUCUAGACCACAUUAAUAAGCUUUUUAGAGCAGUGAAUGCAGAAUAAUCAGCAGGCAGCCUGCCCUCAAAAUGGAGACAGAACAGACAGCAGAAAUGCCUUCUUCCCUUUGUAGCUCUGGUGCAUAGGUGACCCUUCUCUCACAGAGCUGCAAAUGAUUUUCACUAAGAUUGCCUUUGAAAAGCCAUAACGUAAUUAACCAUUUUAUGCAUGUGAUGUCUGCCCAGCUUCACAACUCGAGGCUUUUGCAAUGGAAAAAGAUGCAGCUGCAUUUGAGGUAGAUUUAUGAAACGUGCUAACAAUAGAGCAGACGGAUAGAAAGGCUGCCUGGCAUCCUGGAAUACCUGGGGAAUUCCACUCAGAAAACAAACAUGUUACUCUUUAAUGUAGACUCACAUCUCAUUAUAAAAUCACAAGUGGAAUGAGACACACUUCGCCUUUGUAACUGUGUUGCCAGGAGGCAGGUAAGUGUUGUGCUACAGACAGUCCUGCUAAGGUCUGCAUGAUUUUAAUAUAUUUUGAAAGCAAAUAAUUUGUUAGAUAAUGGGGGUCUUGCUGUGGAUAUUUCCUGCUUUUCUCUAUUAAUAAUUUCUGUGUUGCCAGCUGUAAAUUGAAAUUGUCAAUAGCUUAGUUUAACCUAUUGUGCACUGGCUGUUUCAAGGUGCAGCUGAAAAACAAACUAUUUCAGGGUAUCCUUAUUUUGGUUUGGGAAGGAUUUGCUGGUGAGGCAUUACUAAACACUGGAAAUAAGAAAGCAGACACCUCGGAGCCCUGAAAACUCUUUUAAUUUCAUUUGGAGACGAAGGAAGUUAGCACCAUUGAAAAUCAAGCUCAAGAUAUGCACAUACAGACAAGAAAAGUGAAAGGAGGUUGAAAGGAGAAGGAAAGAAAUGUAAUCCUGUGUGAUGUGGUAAGAUGUAGAGAGGCUGAGAGAAUAAAACAUGGCAGCAAAGAUGGAGACCAGUAGAUGCCACCGUUUUAGAACAUCUUGAUUCUCAACAGCAGCAUCUUCAAGAGAAAAGACUUCAUCAAAUAAAUGGACAGACUAACACAGCUGCCAUAAUGUCAGCCAUUGGAAUUUCAUUAGCAAAUGCUGGCUGUAGAAAUGAAAUAUGUCAAGUGGAACCCAAACAUCUUUAAGGCUGUGCAUCUUCUAUAUCAGUAAUAAAACAAAAUAAAGAAGGUAUAACUCUAUCCUC
rnacentral:lncRNA from 1 species